ACGCUCGACACCUACGGGAAGCAGCAGUCGGGAAUAUUGCGCAAUGGAGGAAACUCUGACGCAGUGACGCCGCGUGCAGGAAGAAGGUUUUCGGAUUGUAAACUGCUUUAGACAGGGAAGAAAGAAAUGACAGUACCUGUAGAAUAAGCUCCGGCUAACUACGUGCCCGCAGCCGCGGUAAUCUGAGCGGGCUGGCAAGGC
rnacentral:rRNA from 1 species